UUUGAGACCCACAUUAAUAUAAGCAACAUUUUUAGCACUUGCAUUAUUGAUACUCUUACAACGGUUGCUUAUCUCCAAGUUAAACUUCCAAAAGUGAAAAAACCUCCUAGCUCUUAACCUUGAGAGAGGGUGACAUUUUCCUUCGUCUGUGCUCGAUCUUCGGCUUCCACGGCCACACCAUGGAAGGUGGGAAGAGAGAAACGGCAACGGGGCCAUCAUCGGGGAGCUCUUCAUCUCAUGCUACAGGAAAUAGAGAAAUUCAUAAGGAAAUGAGUGAAAAACUAAGUGUGGUUGUGAGCUUCGACUAGAUGAAGAUCAAAUGAGAGUACUCUUUUUAGGGUUUGUUCAUGGGCUUCUGCUUUCAUUCAAGAAGCAAAUUGAGAAGGUGCUAAAUCAUCUAUUUGACCUUGCUGGCAUUAUGUAUGGGCAAUUUGGAAUUCCAUCUUUGAAAUUUUUUCUUCCUUUCUCUUGUACUCUCCUGCUGACGGUUUUCAUCAUCAGAGUUUGCAAUAAUCAAUUUCUGAAUUGGAUAGAAAAUGAAUUGAUUUGACUUCUCAGUUUCAUCCCGACACUAGAAGAAGAAGAAAGUCAUUCUCUAUUUUAGUUUUGUGCAAAAUUAUGGUAAAAUUUUUGUUUUGAAUGAAAAUAUUAUUUUUAUUUUUGUA